AACGAACGCUGGCGGCAGGCUUAACACAUGCAAGUCGAACGUGAAGCUGGAGCUUGCUCCAGUGGAAAGUGGCAGACGGGUGAGUAACGCGUGGGAAUUUACCCAGUGGUUCGGAAUAACUUCAGGAAACCGGAGCUAAUACCGAAUACGCCCUUCGGGGGAAAGAUUUAUCGCCAUUGGAUAAGCCCGCGUCGGAUUAGCUUGUUGGUGAGGUAAAAGCUCACCAAGGCGACGAUCCGUAGCUGGUCUGAGAGGAUGAUCAGCCACACUGGGACUGAGACACGGCCCAGACUCCUNACGGGAGGCAGCCAGUGGGGAAUAUUGCGCAAUGGAGGAAACUCUGACGCAGCCAUGCCGCGUGAGUGAAGAAGGCCUUAGGGUUGUAAAACUCUUUCGCUAGGGAAGAUAAUGACGGUACCUAGUAAAGAAGCCCCGCCAACU
rnacentral:rRNA from 1 species